CGAUGAGGGGAGCUUGCUCCCCGAUUAGUGGCGAACGGGUGAGUAACACGUGAGUAACCUGCCCUAGACUCUGGGAUAAGCCCGGGAAACUGGGUCUAAUACCGGAUAUGCACCGUAAACCGCAUGGUUUUUGGUGGAAAGAUUUAUCGGUCUGGGAUGGACUCGCGGCCUAUCAGCUUGUUGGUGAGGUAAUGGCUCACCAAGGCGACGACGGGUAGCCGGCCUGAGAGGGUGACCGGCCACACUGGGACUGAGACACGGCCCAGACUCCUACGGGAGGCAGCAGUGGGGAAUAUUGCACAAUGGGCGAAAGCCUGAUGCAGCGACGCCGCGUGAGGGAUGACGGCCUUCGGGUUGUAAACCUCUUUCAGUAGGGAAGAAGCGAAAGUGACGGUACCUGCAGAAGAAGCGCCGGCUAACUACGUGCCAGCAGCCGCGGUAAU
rnacentral:rRNA from 1 species